GCGCCUCCGCCGCCUCGGGAUCCUCGUCCCCGCGCUCCGUGAACGACGCCCCGCCCGCGCCCGCGCCCGCCUGGGAGCUGGCCGUGCCCCGCGGCCCCGGCGCCGGUGGCGAUGGAGACGAGGCAGAGGACGAGCAGGAGGUGCCGGGGAGUCAGCGGAGGACGAAGCGCUACCGCCCGAUCGCCGAGAUCUACCUCGCGACGGCGCGAUUCGCGAGGUUCAGCCUCAGGAACAAGAAGGAAUAGACGAGGUAGAGCGGGGAGGAGAGAGGGAGAGGUGCUUGCUUGUAAUUACCCCAAAUCCCUAGGGGGUAGCUUGAAGUUUGUGCGGUUUGUGCUUGUUCUUGCAGUCGUCUCUCACUAGGAGAGCCGUAAUCUGGAGCCUGAUCAGAAGUGUAGCAACUUUCUCUUUGCAAUAAACCAUCAGGCUUGCUUUCGUUUGCUU
rnacentral:lncRNA from 1 species